rnacentral:miRNA from 1 species
GCAAUGUGAGUGUACGUGUGUGUGCAUGUGCGUGUCUGUGUGUGCGUGUCUGUGUGUGUGUGUCUGUGUGUGUGUGUCUGUGUGUCUGUGUGUGUGUGUGUGGAGAGAGAGAGGGUAU